UUUUUUUCCUUUGCCUUCUCAG
rnacentral:miRNA from 1 species